rnacentral:rRNA from 1 species
GAUGAACGCUGGCGGCGUGCCUAAUACAUGCAAGUCGAGCGAACAGACGAGGAGCUUGCUCCUCUGACGUUAGCGGCGGACGGGUGAGUAACACGUGGAUAACCUACCUAUAAGACUGGGAUAACUUCGGGAAACCGGAGCUAAUACCGGAUAAUAUAUUGAACCGCAUGGUUCAAUAGUGAAAGACGGUUUUGCUGUCACUUAUAGAUGGAUCCGCGCCGCAUUAGCUAGUUGGUAAGGUAACGGCUUACCAAGGCAACGAUGCGUAGCCGACCUGAGAGGGGGAGCGGCCACACUGGAACUGAGACACGGUCCAGGCUCCUACGGGAGGCAGCAGUAGGGAAUCUUCCGCAAUGGGCGAAAGCCUGACGGAGCAACGCCGCGUGAAUGAUGAAGGUCUUCGGAUCGUAAAACUCUGUUAUUAGGGAAGAACAAAUGUGUAAGUAACUAUGCACGUCUUGACGGUACCUAAUCAGAAAGCCACGGCUAACUACGUG